rnacentral:rRNA from 1 species
GACGAACGCUGGCGGCGUGCCUAAUACAUGCAAGUCGAGCGAAGUUUUUCUGGUGCUUGCACUAGAAAAACUUAGCGGCGAACGGGUGAGUAACACGUAAAGAACCUGCCUCAUAGACUGGGACAACUAUUGGAAACGAUAGCUAAUACCGGAUAACAGCAUUAACUGCAUGGUUGAUGUUUGAAAGUUGGUUAUGCUAACACUAUGAGAUGGCUUUGCGGUGCAUUAGCUAGUUGGUGGGGUAAAGGCCCACCAAGGCGACGAUGCAUAGCCGACCUGAGAGGGUGAUCGGCCACACUGGGACUGAGACACGGCCCAGACUCCUACGGGAGGCAGCAGUAGGGAAUCUUCCGCAAUGGGCGAAGGCCUGACGGAGCAACGCCGCGUGAGUGAAGAAGGAUUUCGGUUCGUAAAGCUCUGUUGUUAGGGAAGAAUGGAUAUGUAGUAACUAUACAUGUACGAGA